rnacentral:tRNA from 3 species
GUCCCCGUAGCUCAAUUGGAUAGAGCGUUGGCCUCCGGAGCCAGAGGUUGAAGGUUCGAAUCCUUCCGGGGAUA